AUGCAGGCAAAGGUGGACAGUGCCCAAAGGCUCAAUGAGAUACUGAGAAUUUAUGAGAGGGGCUCAGGGCAGGCUGUCAAUAAAGAGAAAAGCUCUAUUUAUUUCAGUCCGAACACCCCUGCUCCGGAUAAGCUACUGAUGAAACAAACUCUGAACAUUGCGGUAGAAGCUUUCAGUGAGCGCUACCUUGGUCUACCUACAGCCGUGGGUAGGAUCACAAGCGGUACUUUUGACCAUAUUGGAGAGAGGAUUCGAAGCAAACUCCAAGGCGGGUCGGAAAGAAUGAUAUCUUGUGCUGGAAGGGAAGUGCGUAUAAAGACUGUAGCCCAAGCUAUACCUAUUUUCAGCGUGAGUUGUUUCAAGUUAACAAAGAAGGUGUGUAAAAGCCUCACUUCCUCCUUUGCCAAGUAUUGGUGGAGCAGCUCCCUAGAUCGUAAUUCCAUGCAUUGGAAGGCUUGGACGGCUUUGGCAAGUCCAAAAGAGAAGGGCGGAAUGGGAUUCCGGGAUCUUGAGCUUUUCAACACAGCUCUUCUCGGCAAACAUGGUUGGCGACGGAUGACGAACCCAUCAUCGCUGUGUGCUAGAGUUCUCAAAGGGAGAUAUUUUCCCACUUGUGAUUUUAUGCAAGCUACAGUUCCGCGUUUUUCCUCGACGAUGUGGCGUGCUAUCAUUGCGGGGAGGGAAUCUUUGCAAGUCGGUCUGAUCAAACGCAUAGGAGAUGGCAGGUCGAUCUCUAUCUGGGAUGAUAAGUGGAUCCCCGACACUCUUUCUAUGACUCCGACUGUCAGAAGUACUAAUACACAAUUGCAAACAGUCUCAGACCUUAUUGAUACGGUUAAUUGGUCAUGGAAGGCUGAUGUGGUCUGUCAAAACUUCAUCACCCCCGAUGCGGAUGCAAUCCUUAAUAUCCUCCUGAUGCGGGGUGGGGGCGACGAUGUUGUUGCAUGGGCUCACGAACGGUCGGGAUGCUAUUCUGUAAAAUCAGCGUAUCGUGCUCUAAUGACUCGUAACGAGCAUCUGGCUCUAGAGGAAGGGACGAUCACAGAGACUUCAUCGACAGACAAACAGCUAUGGUCCCGGUUAUGGAAGCUUAAGGUUUUGCCAAGGGUGAGAGUGUUCUGGCGGCGGGUAUUGCAUGGGAUUCUUCCGGCUGAAUCUACUCUCAUGCACCGUUAUAUCACAACCAUUGGCACCUGCAAACUGUGUCUUCACGCAGAGGAAGACAUGAAGCAUGCGUUACUGGAUUGCACCCACGCCAGACGUUUUUGGAAUGCGGCUCCGGACUGGCUUGACAUCAAGCGACCGGAGCUGCACCCACUUACAUGGUCUCGGGAUGUUCUUUGCGAUCCAAUGUUCUCUGAAUCUGAGAGAGCAAAAUUGGUUACAGUCAUGUGGGCGAUUUGGACCUCAAGAAACAAUGCCACGCAUGACAAGAAGGAACUUGAUCCUAUUCAGUCCAUGAAGAAAACCCAAGAAGCUCUCACUGUCCUCGAACUACCUCGCGAUCACGCGCGAACCUUGCCAGGGCAUGGUUGGAGACCGCCGGACUUGGGAUGGAUCAAGAUCAACACUGAUGUGAGUGUUGCCAUGGAAGCUAGAAGGGGAGGGGCAGGUGGAGUCGCAAGAACACAUUCAUCCUUCCUAGCUGCAUGGUGCAAACCUUACCCGGGAAUCACAGAUCCUCUUAUAGCCGAAGCACUCGCUCUACGCGAUGGUGUUCUCUUUGCUCAUCUUCGAGGCUAUUCUGAGGUGGUUUUCGAGUCUAAUAAUUUGGAGAUUGUAAAUCUCUGUUCGUGCGAUCGUGGCGCCUAUCUUGUUCGAGAUUAG
rnacentral:rRNA from 1 species